CUGUGAAGAUGCAGUGUACCCGCGGCAAGACGGAAAGACCCCGUGAACCUUUACUAUAGCUUGACACUGAACAUUGAGCCUUGAUGUGUAGGAUAGGUGGGAGGCUUUGAAGCGUGGACGCCAGUCUGCGUGGAGCCGACCUUGAAAUACCACCCUUUAAUGUUUGAUGUUCUAACGUGGAUCCGUAAUCCGGGUUGCGGACAGUGUCUGGUGGGUAGUUUGACUGGGGCGGUCUCCUCCUAAAGAGUAACGGAGGAGCACGAAGGUUGGCUAAUCCUGGUCGGACAUCAGGAGGUUAGUGCAAUGGCAUAAGCCAGCUUGACUGCGAGCGUGACGGCGCGAGCAGGUGCGAAAGCAGGUCAUAGUGAUCCGGUGGUUCUGAAUGGAAGGGCCAUCGCUCAACGGAUAAAAGGUACUCCGGGGAUAACAGGCUGAUACCGCCCAAGAGUUCAUAUCGACGGCGGUGUUUGGCACCUCGAUGUCGGCUCAUCACAUCCUGGGGCUGAAGUAGGUCCCAAGGGUAUGGCUGUUCGCCAUUUAAAGUGGUACGCGAGCUGGGUUUAGAACGUCGUGAGACAGUUCGGUCCCUAUCUGCCGUGGGCGCUGGAGAACUGAGGGGGGCUGCUCCUAGUACGAGAGGACCGGAGUGGACGCAUCACUGGUGUUCGGGUUGUCAUGCCAAUGGCACUGCCCGGUAGCUAAAUGCGGAAGAGAUAAGUGCUGAAAGCAUCUAAGCACGAAACUUGCCCCGA
rnacentral:rRNA from 1 species